rnacentral:sRNA from 1 species
AUGAAGCAACGAAGCCACUUUCCCCAAAAUCCCCUUUGUCCUCCUCUUUCUGGUACCCCUUUUCCCUCUUUCACUUCCUAUAUAUUUGUGUGCAUGUUUGUUAUGUAUAAGAUUUUUUUUGUGCGUGAGUUAUUGAGUGAGUGAAAUUUGCGUUCUUGGGAGUGCUUAAAUUAGUGUAAACACAUGGAGUAGUUGAGUGCAGAUCUUAAAAUCUGGGUAUGUAAAGGGUAAGUUCUACUUUUUUUUUUCCUUCCUUUGCUAUGAUCUUUGUUAUUGCCUUGCUUCUUUAUUGUUGCUGUUGCUGUGGCCUUUGAGUCCUUUGUUAUUGUUGCUCAGGGUGUUUGUUGAAAUGCUUCAUAGAGGGGUCAAGAUAGUUGGAGCUGUUGAAACCAAGCUCUGGAAAUUCUGAUUUUUAUUUCCAAUCGGUCUUUUGGCUAAUCCGUUGGAUUUUAAAAAAGGUGCUGAAUUUUAAUCUGAAAUAUUGUCCAUAAAUUGCAGUUGUUAUUUUUAAGGAAUAAUCAUACAUGCAAUAGAGAACUCUCACAAAUGGGCCUUUUAUGUUUGAUUCCUUGUUUAAUUUUUAUGCGCCUUCAAGAUCUUCUUGACUUUCUCUUGUCUCAGGCUUAAUGUUCUUUUCUUCUUUACUAAAAUCGUAUAUAUAUAUAUAUAUAAAAUGACAGCCAGCUUUGUGUGUGCGUGUGUUUGUUUUUUUAAAUAAUUAUUUUUAAGGUAAUUGAUGAGUGCAGAAGAACUUAUCAGAACUAGAAUCAAUUGCGCUAGAAGAGACAAUGAAACUGCAGGCUCUAAAACAUCUUUGUGGUGAAAAUUUUGUUCUUAGCUUGAUCAUAUUUUGUGUGUUGUGGACUUGUGGUCCAAAAAUGAUUGCUGUGUUUUCAUUCUGGAACCUUUAAGGAAUUUCCAUAAAGAUUAGAUGCCAUUCUGGAUCAGAAAAGUUCUAUUAUAAGGAGGAAUAAAUUGUGUUUUGGGAAGCCAUGGUACUGUCUAUUGUCAUCCUGUAAUUGCCAUUCAUUUUCAUUAUUAAUCCCUUGAAUUCCCCCCCUUUGUCUAUUGGAUUUGACAUUUAGGAAAUGUUGAUACCAAAUCUAAGAUCCCCCCCCCCCNUAUAUAUAUAUAUAUAUAUAUUUUUUGAGAAGGAUUGGAAAAAAAAAUAGUCAAUUGAUCCAAUUAGAACUUUCAAUACACAAAUCAAAUUAAAAAAAAAGAACUUUCAGUACACAACUUUAUUAUAAAAUAUAAAAAAUAAAUGAUAUGAUGUGAUCGAGCCAAUUUUUAUUUAAAAAAUGUAUUCUCAUUCCUAAUACGUACCACGGACUUUGCCUUAUAACAUUGCAUCUUUUUUCAUCUAAACCAUGUAAGCAACCAAUAGCAGAACUUGGAGGUCAGGCAAGUCAUGAAGGACGAGAUUUCUCUCCAAAUUAAUUUGGAGAGAAACUCUUCAAACUACUCUUAUUUUUUUUAUUAAAUUUAAAAUUUUAAAAUCUCACUAUUCGAUUACAUGUUCUUUAUAUUCUUUACAUUCAUAUCAAAAUCAAAUGUUGUUUACUAUCCGAACAAUAGACUUAUUUUUUAUGCAUAAUUUUUAUCAUAAAAAUAGAGAUUUAAACAUUUGAUUUAUGACAUUUUUAUUAAUCUUUGACCUUCUUGAAAUUUGGUUAGUAUGGAGGAUAUAAUACAAACAUGCUAUCUAAUGGAUAAAAUAUCAAAAUUCACAUUCAAUAAAAAUAUAUUAGCGGAUUUUGAAGGAUUUUUCUACAAACUUGUUUGGAGAGAAACGUUUUCUGGCUAGGGACCUCCAAGCUUUUAGAAAAAUUUUAAUUUUUUAUACCAAUAUCUAGAUAUAGUUAUUGCAAGUAAUUUUUAAGAAAAUUACACUUAAUCACCUCAUUUUUUUUAAUAGUUAUGUUAUAAGCAAAUCUAUAGACAAUAGCCAAACAAAUUAAGUCAUAAUCCUCUCAAAAUAUAUGUCAAGUGAUUAUGAUGAUGAUGAUAUAUAUAAAGCAAUAGAAAAAAAAAAUGCUAGGUAUUAAAUUUAGUAUAAUAUGGUUUUUUUUUUUUGUAAACUUUCACAAUUCAUCUCCAAGUUUUAUUCAUUGCUUAUUAUACUAAUUAGCUUUCAAUUGUUUUGAUUACGUCUCUAUGAUUGAGGAUUGAUUUUAUCAAAACUUUUUUUUUUCUAAUAAGUUUUCAUCAAAUUGUUAAAGAAAGUGUUUUAUAUAAUAUUCACAUGAGUUGUUAAUCAUUGAGCACAUGUAUGAUUAGCAAAAACAAAAACAAAAAAAAAAAUCCAUUUAUAUAAUUUUUUUUAUGCAUAAAAAAUCUCAAAAUAACAUAAAUAUAAAAGAAUUCUUUACAUUAUUCCAAAUAUAAGAGAUAAUGAAAAAAAAAAAAAAAAAAUUCUAAAGGCUUGCAUCACAUACUUUGAUUUUUAGAUUAGAAGUUCACUAAAUUCCAAUCAUAAUAUUCCAAGAGAAAUGGAUAAAGUGGUGUGGUUAAUGCAUCUAAGUUCUAAAUCAAAAUAAUUAUGAUUAAACAAUUUUAAAACGCAUCGGCCAAUGUGACUAGAAAAGAGAUAAUGUUGGACGAAUCUAUGUAUAUUUAUUUUUUAAUUUAUUAUAACAGUUUUUUUAGAGAGUUUUAAAUUUAUUGCAUCCACUUUUGAUAAUAACUCUUUAUCAUGAGAGCAAGAUACUAAUCAAUUUUUGAUGUAGGCAGGAAUUGAACUGCAGAUCUCUUAUUCAAUUAUCAUAAACUUUACCAGUCAAGCUAAUUGGAACUCACAUUACAACAAUUUAAAUGUUAUACAUAGAGAUUAUUUUUUUAAGAAUAAGAAUAUACAUUAAUUGUAAACAUCUUAACAAAGUAAUAUAUCAUAGUUCAAUAUGAUUAGUUUUAUAAAGAACAUAACUUUGAGAAUGGAAACAAGAAAGUUUACAUUUUGAAAUCUCACAAGUAAAAAUUGACAUUGGAAUUUUUGUGUCGAAGGCACGAAAUUGUUGGGGAAGUGACAGAAGUAGGGAGCAAGGUGAAUGGAGUUAAAGUUGGAGACAAAGUGGGCGUAGGAUGCAUGGUUGGUGCAUGUCACUCCUGCGAGAGCUGCAAAAAUGACCUUGAAAAUUACUGUCCCAAAAUGAUACUCGCUUACAAUUCCAUUUACCAUGAUGGAACAUUCAACUAUGGAGGCUAUUCAGACACAAUGGUAGCUAAUGAGCGCUACAUAGUUCAUUUCCCAGAAAAUAUGCCACUUGAUGCUGGUGCUCCACUACUCUGUGCUGGGAUCACAGUGUAUAGUCCCCUGAAACACUUUGGUCUAGCCCAACCUGGUAAGCAUAUUGGGGUUGUGGGAUUAGGUGGGCUUGGUCAUGUAGCUGUCAAAUUUGCUAAGGCUUUUGGGGCAAAAGUGACUGUAAUUAGUACCUCACCUAGCAAGAAGGAUGAUGCUUUGGAACAUCUUGGUGCUGAUUCUUUUUUGGUUAGCCGUGAUCCAGACCAAAUUCAGGUAUAUUUUUAGUUUAUGAUACUUUCCAUCUUUUGAACUCAUGCUCAUAAUGGUUGUACUUUGAGAUAUUGGGUGUUGAUGAUGAAUAUAUAUUAAAUUUGUGCAGGCUGCCAUGAACACAAUGGAUGGUAUCAUUGAUACUGUUUCUGCAGUGCACCCCAUUUUUCCAUUGCUUGGUCUAUUGAAGUCCCAUGGAACGCUUGUCAUGGUGGGUGUACCAGACAAGCCACUAGAGCUACCUGUGUUUCCAUUGAUUUCGGGUAAUUGCUUAUUAAGAAUUUAAGACCAUGAUAAAUUUUCCAUUAUUUCCAUUUCUUGUGCUUUGCAACUUUUCAUCUGAAAAAUGUAGAGGCUUUUUCUACCAAUUUUACACGAAAAAAAAAAAGAAGGUAAAAAUCGAGAUAAUAACAAAUGUGAUUUGUAUCAUUUCGCAAAUAAAAUAAAUAAAUAAAUGUCGAAUUAUUCAUUUAUUCAUUUUAUAUAUAUAUAUAUAUAUACAAGAUAGAAAUUCUACUCUAUCUUAAUCUAAGUGUAUAGUAUGUGAAGCUCCUUCUUAGAAACUUGAACCUCGGCCCUUACUCUCCACACCUUACAAGUACUUAUACUUGUGGAGUGACCAUUGUGCUAAGAGUGCGCAGUGGUCUGAAUUAAUUAUAAUAUCACUAGUAUUACUUGUUCUUAUUUCUUUACUUUAUUGUUUUAUAAGUUUUGGCCUUAGAGGAAAGGGUGGAGAGAAGUUUGAAUUUCCCCAUCCUUAAGAUUAUACAAUAAUCCUAUCCAUUAAGAUUACUCUUAAUUAGAGUUUUGUUUAUAUUUUUCAUUAUUAGUUAAGAGAGUUACUAAGAUUUGCAAAAAAAAAAAAAAUCAGGAAGGAAGAUGGUUGCCGGGAGUGGCAUUGGAGGAAUGAAAGAAACGCAAGAGAUGAUCAACUUUGCAGCAAAACAUGGCAUCACGGCAGACAUUGAGGUUGUUUCAAUGGAUUAUGUGAACACCGCAAUGGAGCGUCUUGCUAAGAAUGAUGUUAGAUACCGGUUUGUCAUUGACAUUGGAAACACCUUGGCUGCUACCAAGCCUUGA